GACGAACGCUGGCGGCGUGCUUAACACAUGCAAGUCGAACGGGCCUUGUCCCCUUUUUUUUUGGGGGUGGGGUUAGUGGCGAACGGGUGAGUAACACGUGAGUAACCUGCCCCUCACUUCUGGAUAACCGCUUGAAAGGGUGGCUAAUACGGGGUGUUCUGGCCUGCUCGCAUGGGUGGGUUUGGAAAGAUUCGACCGGUUUUGGUUGUUUUGGUGGGGGGUGGGCUCGCGGCCUAUCAGCUUGUUGGUGGGGUGAUGGCCUGCCAAGGCUUUGACGGGUAGCCGGCCUGAGAGGGUGGGCGGUCACACUGGGACUGAGACACGGCCCAGACUCCUACGGGAGGCAGCAGUGGGGAAUAUUGCACAAUGGGCGCAAGCCUGAUGCAGCGACGCCGCGUGAGGGAUGGAGGCCUUCGGGUUGUGAACCUCUUUCGCCAGUGAAGAAGGUCCUGCUCUUUGUGGUGGGGUUGACGGUAGCGGGGUUAAUGAAGCGCCGGCUAACUACGUG
rnacentral:rRNA from 1 species